UACGUAGGUGGCGAGCGUUGUCCGGAUUUACUUGGCGUAAAGAGCGCGCAGGCGGUCGUUCAAGUCGCGUGUGAAAGCCCCCGGCUCAACUGGGGAGGGUCACGCGAUACUGAUCGACUCGAAGGCAGGAGAGGGUAGUGGAAUUCCCGGUGUAGUGGUGAAAUGCGUAGAUAUCGGGAGGAACACCAGUGGCGAAGGCGACUACCUGGCCUGUUCUUGACGCUGAGGCGCGAAAGCUAGGGGAGCAAACGGG
rnacentral:rRNA from 1 species